rnacentral:rRNA from 1 species
UAGGGAAUCUUCCACAAUGGACGAAAGUCUGAUGGAGCAACGCCGCGUGAGCGAUGAAGGCCUUCGGGUCGUAAAGCUCUGUUGUUAGGGAAGAACAAGUACCGUUCGAAUAGGGCGGUACCAUGACGGUACCUAACCAGAAAGCCACGGCUAACUACGUGCCAGCAGCCGCGGUAAUACGUAGGUGGCAAGCGUUGUCCGGAAUUAUUGGGCGUAAAGCGCGCGCAGGCGGUCCUUUAAGUCUGAUGUGAAAGCCCACGGCUCAACCGUGGAGGGUCAUUGGAAACUGGGGGACUUGAGUACAGAAGAGGAAAGCGGAAUUCCACGUGUAGCGGUGAAAUGCGUAGAGAUGUGGAGGACACCAGUGGCGAAGGCGGCUUUCUGGUCUGUAACUGACGCUGAGGCGCGAAAGCGUGGGGAGCAAACAGGAUUAGAUACCCUGGUAGUCCACGCCGUAAACGAUGAGUGCUAAGUGUUAGAGGGUUUCCGCCCUUUAGUGC